rnacentral:rRNA from 1 species
GUUUGAUCCUGGCUCAGAUUGAACGCUGGCGGCAUGCUUUACACAUGCAAGUCGAACGGUAACAGGUCUUCGGAUGCUGACGAGUGGCGAACGGGUGAGUAAUGUAUCGGAACGUGCCCAGUAGUGGGGGAUAACUACUCGAAAGAGUGGCUAAUACCGCAUGAGACCUGAGGUUGAAAGCGGGGGACCUUCGGGCCUCGCGCUACUGGAGCGGCCGAUAUCAGAUUAGGUAGUUGGUGGGGUAAAGGCUUACCAAGCCGACGAUCUGUAGCUGGUCUGAGAGGACGAUCAGCCACACUGGGACUGAGACACGGUCCAGACUCCUACGGGAGGCAGCAGUGGGGAAUUUUGGACAAUGGACGCAAGUCUGAUCCAGCAAUGCCGCGUGCAGGACGAAGGCCUUCGGGUUGUAAACUGCUUUUGUACAGAACGAAAAGGCUCUGGUUAAUACCUGGGGCUCAUGACGGUACUGUAAGAAUAAGCACCGGCUAACUACGUGCCAGCAGCCGCGGUAAUACGUAGGGUGCGAGCGUUAAUCGGAAUUACUGGGCGUAAAGCGUGCGCAGGCGGUUUUGUAAGACCGAUGUGAAAUCCCCGGGCUCACCCUGGGAACUGCAUUGGUGACUGCAAGGCUGGAGUGCGGCAGAGGGGGAUGGAAUUCCGCGUGUAGCAGUGAAAUGCGUAGAUAUGCGGAGGAACACCGAUGGCGAAGGCAAUCCCCUGGGCCUGCACUGACGCUCAUGCACGAAAGCGUGGGGAGCAACCAGGAUUAGAUACCCUGGUAGUCCACGCCCUAAACGAUGUCAACUGGUUGUUGGGUAUUUGCUUACUCAGUAACGAAGCUAACGCGUGAAGUGACCG